rnacentral:rRNA from 1 species
AGUGAACGCUGGCGGCGUGCCUAAUACAUGCAAGUCGAACGGAAUUUAAAAGAGCUUGCUCUUUUAAAUUUAGUGGCGCACGGGUGAGUAAUAUAUAGCUAAUCUGCCCCUUGCUGGAGGACAACAGUUAGAAAUGACUGCUAAUACUCCAUACUCCUUUUUACCAUAAGAUAAAUCGGGAAAGAAUUUCGGCAAGGGAUGAGACUAUAUCGUAUCAGCUAGUCGGUGGGGUAACGGCCUACCGAGGCUAUGACGCGUAACUGGUCUGAGAGGAUGAUCAGUCACAUUGGAACUGAGACACGGUCCAAACUCCUACGGGAGGCAGCAGUAGGGAAUAUUGCGCAAUGGGGGAAACCCUGACGCAGCAACGCCGCGUGGAGGAUGACACUUUUCGGAGCGUAAACUCCUUUUGUUAGGGAAGAAUAAUGACGGUACCUACGAAUAAGC